UCUUUUACCACAGCCUCCCCAGUGCUGGGAUUAACAGGAAGACACCACAGUGCCUGGUCUUUUUUUCCCCCCCUUCUGUCUUGAGACAGUGUGGUCUUGAACUUGGUGAUCCUUCUGACUCAGAGUGGUGAAGUAAUUCAAUACUUCAGAGUAAUGAAUUACAGGUGUGGACCGUGAACCCAGGCUGGUGUCUCUCAGUGAACCUUAUUUUCAGUUGACACUGUUAGGUGUUUUGUAAUAGUAUAAUACUGUUGGUACUUUGGUGAGUUUUGUUACUGUAGUCUUCAUAGACAAAGUAUUUUCUCUUUCUCUUUUUUUGUGUGGCAGAACUGGGCACUGAACUCAGGCCCUUACAUUUGCCAGGGAAGUAUUAUUCCACUUAUUCCACUGGGCCCUCUCCCCGGCCCAGAGUAUUUUCUUUUUAGCUUUCAUUUGAAGCAUUAUGUUCCCACAAAUAUGUACUCAAUGUACAGUAUAGUUUAUCUGCUUUAUUUCUGUCUUAUAGAAAUCAUGAAUGUGGUCUCCAGACAAUGAUGAAGAAAAUCUGUUGAUAUUUUGAGAAAUUACAGAAGAGGAGGCCUGCUUCACAUGCAGAUAAGUUUAUUAUAAUUCUCAAGAAAUGUGCAGGAUGUGCAUUGGCAAAUUGCCCUGUAUUUUUGCUAUGUGAAAUCUAAAUUUAGGAUUAAUAGCUUUAAAGGUUUAAAGUAGAGAUUGAUAAAAUUAACACAGAAAAGAUAACCUUGUCUAAAUGAACUUUAUCUUGAACCUAAAUAUAGGUUUGCUGACUUCUAGUAGACAAGGUCUUGGUUACUUGUUCAGAUGCUUAGGUAUCCCACUGGCAAAGGUCUUAGUUUCUUGAAACGAGGCAUUUUUUGUUAUGACUUGACUUUGAAGAGUUACUUGAAUUUGCACCAGCAGAAUAAAAUACUUAGGACAUGUGCCUUGUGCCUACUAUGAUAACAGGUUUAUGUUGUGUUGGUUAUAACUUAAUUGGUGCAUUUGACUGAUUUUACACAAAAUUGGGCUAUUUUUACAUAGAACUUAAAACCAAGUUUCUUAAAAAAAUUUUCUGUCUCUUUUGGCUGUCUAGCUGUCAGAAAAGCUAACAGAAGAUGGAACUAAAAAUUCCAAUGAAAAAUCUUCCCAGCAAAGAAACAUAGCUUUUAGCACUAAUAAUUCUGUAGCAAAACCAAAGCAGAACACAGCUAGCACUGCUACUGAAGAAAAAUCUUCAGGAUCACCAAAAAUAGAUAAGAAAAAAAGCCCAUAUGGACUGUGGAUACCUGUCUAAAAGAAGAAAGUGAAUGGCUACAGUUGCCUCA